rnacentral:lncRNA from 1 species
UGAAUAUGUAGCUAAUAUACAAGCAAGUUUGUCGCCGCGGCGUUCAUAGCUGGAAAACAGUGUGUCUGUUGUGCUUCUUCUCCCUCUUGCCAAUAGCGUUGGCGUGUGUGUUUAAGUGGUUCCUGAGAGAAGCGAACAAUUGAUAUUAAAGCCAGAGAAGGUGUCGACCAUAUUGUUGGAGGAGCAUGUCGGCAGGCUGCGCGUGGCGGAGGAGUGCUGCUGCAGAGACAAGGCGGUCACAGAUGACAUCGAGCGUCUACUGCUUAAGGAGGAGAAGUCGGAGGCGCGUCGAUGUCAUCAACACCGCAGCAAGGAGCGCUCGAGCGAAGGCAGCGACAAAGAGCGGUCUCCUUGCUGCGGCGUUGACGACAUCAAUGCACCUCCGACUGCUCUUCCAUGAGGCCAUCCGUGAUUGCCUUGACUCCGCUGCAGCGCUCUUCCGCCACGCACAGCCUGCUGACAUACUCCUCCAUCAACAUAGUCGACAUCUUCUCCGGCUUUGGUACUAACUGUUGGCUUCGCCCAGAAACCAUUCAAACACACACACACACCAACGCUCUUGGUGAGAUGUAGAAUAAGCACAAUAGACACACUAUUUUUUGGUGAAGCACAAUGACAACAAGGAAGGCACCGACGUCGACGACAAGCCGACGCUCCUGUAGGUUGGGUGUAUGGGAUGUGGAGUGAUUGUUAGAAAUAAUACGCGAGCGUUAUUUUUGGGUCGUGUGUGCCUCCUGGACUCUAGGUUUUAUGCUGGCAAGCAAUGAUGGUGUGCGUGGUUGCCAAGUCAUGCCCAUGAUGCACGAAUGAGCGAGAGGCUCUCGGACGUCGUUGCGUGAGUCAUGUGGAUCAUGGCAUGAAGGCCGGACGUCAAGGUUAGUCCCUGACAAAUCCGUGGCCUAUAUGUAGUCCAUGUUCUUCUCUGUAUUUAAAUCUAUUAGAUAUAUAUAUAUAUAGCCAAGCUAGAGACGAGUUUGUCACCACGGUGUUCGUCAUCAGAAAACAUGUGUCUAUUAUGUUUUUUCUACCAUCCGCCAAGAGUGUUGGCACUUGUGUUUCAGUGGUUCUACACGAAGCCAACAAAAGCACAUUCGAGAGAAUGUCUGUUUACCGGUACUGCAGAAGUGCAGAUGAAAGCCCGGGCAACAGGCUCCUUACAAUUUACAAUAGUGUCGGCGACAAGAUAGCUAGGAAUCCCAAGACACCUGCAGAUUAUAGUACUGUACAACACAACAAGACUACGUUCCAUAAUGGCCGCCUGUUGCAGGUAGACUGUUGAAGCUUCCUUUUUUCAAAAGCAUGUGUCCAAUCCACAUCAGCUCCUAACUCCUAGCCCUCACCAUAUAGUCAAUUUUCCGCACGAUGGCGAUGGGCCAACAACAGCCAUGCCAUGGUACUCAAGAGCCCCCCAUCUUGCUCCUAAUGAACGGGUACAGUGGACCACCAAGAACAAUGCCAUAGUUUUGUGUGCUUCCGAAGCAUGCUUGUUAGUACAGUACAGGUGGUCUAUUCCUUUCUACGAAUUGGACACCUUGCAUUGGAGUGACUUCUGAACAAAAGAGAACAUGUAUCAUCAUUGUUAAGUUGAUUUUUUUAGCUUGCCUUCUAUCCAUUACAUCCUUGAGAGAGACACUUCAAGGGGGUAUUAUGUAUGUAUUCACCUAAACCCUCUUGAAUAUAUAAAAAAAAGGAAAGAAAAGAAGAAAUUAUACAUAUAUCACAUUUUUUUAGAGAAAAGAAUAGUGGAAAAUUGUACAUUAUGAUGGAGAAGCGGGGGUCAGAGGUUGAUCCAUCCUCUGGUGAGAAAACCAAAAUUUUUUCCUUCUUUGCAGCUAGCUAGCAGGACAAUCAACAUCUUAAGGGUGUAGCCAUGCAUGUACAAUGUACACCACUCCGGCCGUCCUCCAGCUCGUCCCUUCUCUUAUAUGGUUCACAUUUCUUUCUAUCUUCUCUUGUUGUGCAUAGAUGGUUGCGACGACGAG